UUAUAGGAAUGAUGCUGUAGCAAGUUUAACCUGCUGGUUAUAGAGACCAAUGCCAAGCUCCAAAUAUGACACCAGAGACUAGUUAUCAGCCACUUAGUGGCAAGUUGAUUAUAUUGGAUCCCUUUAAUUUAUGUUAACUGAGAUUGACACAUAUUCUAAAUAGAUAUUUGCCCUCCUGACUUCAGGAUUUAGUAGCAUCAAAAUGUAAUGGCUUAUACAGUGUUUGAUCUACUGAUAAAUGAUCCUCUUCAACAUUUCAUAAGACUAGGACGCUACUUUAUAGCCAAGGAGGUGAAGUAGUUGACACAAAAUCAUGGGAUCUAUUCAUUUUACACCAUAUCACCUAGAAACUUCAAGUAUAAUAAAGCCACAGAACAACCUUUCGAAGACAUAGCUGAGGCACCAUCUUGGAGAUGACACCUUUAAGUAUGGGUACCACCCUCCAAGACCUAGUAUAUGCCCUAAAUCCAUUAUACCAUUCUGUGUUCCACCUGGCAGAAUACAUAGGUCUGAGAACUAAGGAGUAGAAGUAGGAGCAACUCCACUUAUCAUCACUCCCAGCAGGGAGUUAGUUUUUCUCUCUCAUCCACAUAAAUGUAGGCUUUUUAGUCUAGAGGUUCUGAUUCCCUUGAUGGAGGAUGCAUCUAUCUGGGGAUGUAGCAAGAGUUCCAUUAAUCUAUAAGCCUUUCAGUUUCCUUGUGCCAAGAGACCAGAUUGCUAGGAAAUUAAUUACGGACCCAAAUCUUGAGGAAGAUGUUGAAAUAUUGUUACAUAAUGCAGGUAGGAGAACAGAUCCUGGAAACCUAGUUGAAUCACUGGACCUUUUUAAUACUCCCCUGCCUAGUUGUGGCAGUACGUGGGCAAGAGAAGCAUUCAUGGUAUAAGAAAGGCCUAGUGACCAUGUGCUCAAGCCCCUUAAAGAGGAGAGUCUGGGUCACCCUGUGACAGAAGAGGUGCUAGCAGAGAGUGUAGGGAAUCACAAUGACCCCUGAGGGAGGGAGCAUCACUUACGGCCACAUGAACAGCUUUAACAGUGGGGGCUGUAAUUUGCUUCAUUAAGCUUACCCUUUUCAGUUUCCCCCCCCCCAACACACAAAAAAAACAGAACCACCAGAGUUCUAAAAGAGCUGUUCCCAGAUACACUGAACUUAUACAGCAAAUGCAUCCGGGCAGUAAAAGGGAUAGACCAAAGCUGAUACUGCCAUGCAGCACUCAGGUCCUCCAGUUAAGACUGAAUUCCUCCUUCCCCAAGCUGCCAAGGUAUAUUUCCAGAUGACAGCUCAGGUGCAAAUUCUCCAGGAAUUUUUCUCAGCCAAUGAAAGCUUGCUCAUCAAAGACUAUGCCCUAGCUCAAGUACAGGCUUCACCCAAUGACUGGUUAAUGUGAGAGUACAAAGAUCUGUCUCUAAAAAUCCCUCCAGCUUCAGAGCUGCCAUCAACAACUACAGGAUUGUGCAAAGUAAGGAAAGUAUUUCUUAUACUUACACAUUUCAGUUAACAUGGUACUCUACCAGGCAAGGGCUAUCUGUAAUAUAUAUGAGCUAUCAUAAAAUAAUUUUUUUACUCUGUAUUUAAUGUAAGAACCUGCCACAAGAUGCUUUCCUUUAAGUGGGCUUCCAUAUUCUAUGAAUAAAUAUUUAUAAUUUAUGCCAAUAUAAAGCAAGAACAGUCUAUUUUCCUAGAAGGGAGUAAUAUAGUGGCCUCAUUCUUAUCCAUUUGUAUCCAUGCAAAUAUUUUGUAGUUAAAGGAAGAAAGUGGAGGAGUGGGGAGAAGAAGGAGAAAAGAGGGAGAGGGGGAAAAAUAAGAAGAAAAUUCAUGAUUUGAAAUUUAGCAGUAUAUAAGAAAGCUAUUCCAGAUGACCUAUUCUCAUUUGCUACUAAUUUAUCCCAUGCAACAAUCUGCCAUAGAAUCCCCCACUGUCCACUAAAAACAGUCCUUGGCUCCCUCAUAAAUUAUAAGGAAUAAAUACUAAAAUUAGUUCUUAUGCCCAAGCUUCUCCAUCAACAACCUGUAAUAAAGUGAACCACACAGCUCCUCUGUCUGCCUGUUGAGAGCCUGAAACAUAAGUCCUAUUGCUUAAGGAUUGCUGCUUUCAGAUUGCAAAUGCGACACUGGCUUUGGGUGCUGGGAUGUUUGCAAAAAUGCAAAUGUUAACAAGGCUCAGCAAGUCUAGAAAAGGACUUGAGAGAAGACCGUUUGUGCGUUAAGGUAAACUCUGAGUCUUGGUGUCCUCACCUGAAGGGAGGGUUGGUUCUCCUGAGCUUUCUGUCUGCUCCCUUCCAAAAGGACUUUGCCAAGGUUCUAAGGCCACUGCAGAGAAAGGAAACUGCAGGUGUUCAUUCCUCCCAGCCAAGGCCAUAGCUCAGUUCCCUUCCAUUCUCCCCUGCAAGUCAGCAGGGCACCACUCCCAGCAUCUUCGUGACCUCUCACUUAGGUCCAGAGUACUACAGAUUUCCAAAAUCAACCCUGAGUCCCUCCCCUUUCUUGAACAGAGUGCUCAAUAUGGGAGUUUUUUCUUUCUCAUGUGGAAUAGAAGUUUCCUCUUUUCUUAGAAGUCAGUUCCCAGGCCCUAAUUAUUUACCUUAGUAAACUAGGAACAACAAUGGAAACUGAAAAAAUUGAAAUGGCCAUUUGCACUCCUGGAGGUCAGAAGCUGCUCAAGGCCAAAUGUUACAGGGGCAUCUGAGGCCAAGAAAAAACAAUUUACUUCUCACAACAUUUUAUCAGGGAGUCAAGUGGAGUCACCCCCCAUUAAAACAAGUUGCCUCUUACACAUCGCCUCAUCGAGUAGGUCCCCUCAGUGACGAAAGGCCCUCUUGUUUAUAUGAAAUGGAAACUGUGGUGCUCUGUACAGUGGUUCCCAGCAUCGGUUCACAUUAGAAUUCCCUGGAAAUCUCCUUUCAACACAAAUCCUGGCCCCAACCCCUGAGUUUCUGAUUCAGUCAUUUGGGGGUGUGGCUUAAAGGUUUGCAUUUCUAACCAUGCUCCCCGCCAGGGGAUGCUGACUCUGCUGGCCCAGGGCUCUCAAUGUGUCAGCUUCUAUUCUAUACUAAGACUCUACUAUGGCUAUAAGGAUAGCAGGUGACCACAACCAAAUGGCUCAUCAAUGAGUCUGCUUAGGAUGGAGAUUUGAUUUAAAGUAUUUUAAACCAAAACUGCAAAAUUAAUACAAAGAGAAAUAAGUGUGUUUGGGGGAAAACCUUGAGCUUAUGAUACUGGCUUUCCAGUCUCAUCCCUGAUCCACAGCAAAUUGAUGAGCCAAUUUCAAGAGGGGGUUCUGGUGGCAUAGAAAACUUUCAUUUAGUCCAUCUGCAGUAGGAUGGUUGUCUGAGUUUUUUUUUUUUUUUUUCUGUUCAAUAGUCUUAUCAGCCAGUACCGGAAGUCCAGCCAGUGAAAGGCUUGUAAUUGUUUUUAUUCACCACAAGCACUAAAUGCUGAUUCAGAUGAGAAUUCGAUUGAUUUUCAGGCAGUGUUUACUCUUUUCCUUGUCAUCAUGCAGACAGCCAAUAAAUGAUAUUAAAGAUUAAUUAAUAGGGAAGCUGUGCGCUACCUGCCAAAGAGAUGAUUAAGCUCAGAGUCCAUGUUCCUUCCCAGAGAAGAAAAUAAACCUCAGUAAUUAAAUGUUCAGAGGCAGCUUUUGUCCUGGGUACAGAGUCCAUCCAAGUCAGAAUGGGAAAGCUUUCUUAAAAAGCCAAGUGGGUAGACUCAAGCUGCAGCCAAGUCUUAGCCACCCAGUGGUGCCAAUCCAUGUGAGCCAGCGUGCGAGCCAGCAAACAGCUCCACCUGCCAGGGAAGCAGGAGUCAUCGCACAAAGCCUCCAUGGGCCUGCCCUCCAAAUGGGGCAGCAGCCACCCAGAGCUGGCUCUCCAUCCCUACACCUUCCCAGCUCUCAUAAUCGCAUCCCACUUCCCUAAAACGUUCUCUUAAUCUAAAGAUCACCUUUUCGCAGAUGAGUCUGCUGAGGCUGCUCAUUUUUCUUCCAAAGAAACACAUACCAAAGGUAAGGUUUGAUCAUUCUAAAAAUGCAAAAUUAAACAGAAAGUUUAACUGGGGUUGGGAGAGAGAUGGGCAUGAUCUCACCAGACCACUCCUGGGGCCUCACCCUGGAUAACAGUUCACAGUUCACCAUGUGUGCUUGUAUUUGCAUGCCAUCCCAUUAUAUACUUCCCACAGCUGUGAGAAGUGGUCUUUUUAUUGGUUUUUUUCACAGAUGAGGAUACUAAGCCAACAUGGGUGUGCGGAGUCUAGGGAGAGAAGGUGUCAAAAGAUGCCCUGACCAGUGUUGAUGUAUAUCCAUUGAUUAGCUGUGGGAGGCUCUCACUGACAGUUCUGAAUAAGGCACUUGGCUGUACAGCCCAGAACAGCUCCUUGAGGCUGUCAUGAAAAUCACACACUGAGAGAAAAACAUGGAAUGACAUAACUUCUAAGUCUAAGGUAAACAGCUAAUUCAUUAAAUAAUACACAGUAAAUAUAGCUAAUUCAUUAAAUAAUACACAGUAAAAUAAAAGCUAUAGCUUAUGGAUCAAUAAUGAAUACAGCUAAUUCAUUAAAUAAUACACAGUAAAAUAAAAGCUAUAGCUUAUGGAUCAAUAAUGCGACCAUAGGCAAUUCUGAUCCAGAAUAUUUGCAGAGGAACAGAGGACAAACCAGACCUCAUGGUCGUCCCAUAAUUAGCAAAGUGUUGCUUCAAAAACAAAUCCCCAUGUUUAUCAAUGUUUUGGGUCAUUGUAUUUUGAAUAUUGCUAUUGUGGGUGACAUGGAGACAUAUCAUACUAUAGUUGAAAUGUAUGAUGUGUUUAGCCAACAUGAAUGCUCUAUAUGUCCUUGUCCAGAAAAAGAUUCUUCAAUAAAAACCCUUUUAAAAUAAAUUAUUGGAAGAGUUAUAUAAUCCUAAGGGAAGGACGGAAUAAUUUCAGUUGAAGCCCUGAAGAAAUUUUAUGGAGGAGAUGACAUUUUAGUUCAGUUCUGAAGGACUAGUAGAUAAUCUAUG
rnacentral:lncRNA from 1 species